UCCAGACUCCUACGGGAGGCAGCAGUGGGGGAUAUUGCACAAUGGGGGAAACCCUGAUGCAGCGACGUCGCGUGGGUGAAGAAGCGCCUCGGCGCGUAAAGCCCUGUCAGCAGGGAAGAAAAUGACGGUACCUGAGUAAGAAGCCCCGGCUAACUACGUGCCAGCAGCCGCGGUAAUACGUAGGGGGCAAGCGUUAUCCGGAUUUACUGGGUGUAAAGGGAGCGUAGACGGCCAGACAAGUCUGAAGUGAAAAUCCAGCGCUUAACGUUGGAAGUGCUUUGGAAACUGCCGGGCUGGAGUGCAGGAGGGGCAGGCGGAAUUCCUAGUGUAGCGGUGAAAUGCGUAGAUAUUAGGAGGAACACCAGUGGCGAAGGCGGCUUACUGGACAGUAACUGACGUUGAGGCUCGAAAGCGUGGGGAGCAAACAGGAUUAGAUCCCCCAGUA
rnacentral:rRNA from 1 species